rnacentral:rRNA from 1 species
UACGUAGGGCGCAAGCGUUAUCCGGAAUUAUUGGGCGUAAAGAGCUCGUAGGCGGUUUGUCGCGUCUGCCGUGAAAGUCCGGGGCUCAACUCCGGAUCUGCGGUGGGUACGGGGCAGACUAGAGUGAUGUAGGGGAGACUGGAAUUCCUGGUGUAGCGGUGAAAAUGCGCAGAUAUCAGGAGGAACACCGAUGGCGAAGGCAGGUCUCUGGGCAUUAACUGACGCUGAGGAGCGAAAGCAUGGGGAGCGAACAGG